rnacentral:rRNA from 1 species
UACGUAGGGUGCAAGCGUUAAUCGGAAUUACUGGGCGUAAAGCGUGCGCAGGCGGUUUGUUAAGACAGGUGUGAAAUCCCCGGGCUUAACCUGGGAACUGCGCUUGUUACUGGCAGGCUUGAGUGCGGCAGAGGGGGAUGGAAUUCCGCGUGUAGCAGUGAAAUGCGUAGAUAUGCGGAGGAACACCGAUGGCGAAGGCAAUCCCCUGGGCCUGCACUGACGCUCAUGCACGAAAGCGUGGGGAGCAAACAGG